rnacentral:rRNA from 1 species
ACGGCUGAGUAACACAUGGGAAUCUACCUCAAACUCGAGAAUAGCCCAUCGAAAGGUGGUGUAAUACUCGAUAGUUCCGUUUACGGUAAAGCUCCGGCGGUUUGAGAUGAGCCCAUGUCCUAUCAGGUUGUUGGUGGGGUAAUUGCCUACCAAGCCUAUGACGGGUAGCUGGUUUGAGAGGAUGAUCAGCCAGACUGGGACUGCGAUACGGCCCAGACUCCUACGGGAGGCAGCAACUAGGAAUCAUGCGCAAUGGACGAAAGUCUGACGCUGCGACGUCGCGUGAGGGAUGAAGGUCUUCGGAUCGUAAACCUCUUUUAUCUGGGAACAAGUUCUGAGUGUACCAGAUGAAUAAGUGCCUGCCAACCACGUGCCAGAAGCAUCGGUAAUGCGUGGGGCACGAGCGUUAUCCGGAUUUACUGGGCGUAAAGAGAUGCGUAGGCGCCUUUUUAAGUCACUUGUAAAAUCUCCCCGCUCAACGGGGAAACUGCAAGUGAUACUGAAUUGGUUGAGUCAAGUAGAGGAGAGGGGAAUUCCUGGUGGAGCGGUUAAAUGCGUUGAUAUCAGGAGGAAUACCAAGUGCGAAGGCACCUCUCUGGACUUGUACUGACGCUAAGGCUCGAAAGUGUGGGGAGCAAAACGGAUUAGAUACCCGUGUAGUCCACACUGUAAACGAUCCCUGCUAG